ACUCAAAGGAAUUGACGGGGGCCCGCACAAGCAGUGGAGCAUGUGGUUUAAUUCGAUGCAACGCGAAGAACCUUACCCAGAUUUGAAAUUAAGAGGACGAUAAUAGAAAUGUUAUUUCCCGCAAGGGUCUUUUAACAGGUGCUGCAUGGCUGUCGUCAGCUCGUGCCGUGAGGUGUUGGGUUAAGUCCCGCAACGAGCGCAACCCUUAUCAUUAGUUGCCAGCACGAAAGGUGGGAACUCUAAUGAGACUGCCCGGGUUAACCGGGAGGAAGGUGAGGAUGACGUCAAGUCCGCAUGGCCUUUAUAUCUGGGGCUACACACGUGCUACAAUGGUCGGUACAGAAGGCAGCAAGACCGCAAGGUGGAGCAAAUCCGUAAAGCCGAUCUCAGUUCAGAUUGUAGUCUGCAACUCGACUACAUGAAGUUGGAAUUGCUAGUAAUGACGUGUCAGCAAUAACGUCGUGAAUACGUUCCCGGGCCUUGUACACACCGCCCGU
rnacentral:rRNA from 1 species